UCGGCUCUGGAGUAUGAAGAAGAAGAAGAGCAGUGGUAGAAUGUUUGGGUCGUCCCCUUCAUCUCAUCCAUGGCAGUGGUAGAAGGUCACAAGAGGCUCUUUCUCUAUCUCUGUGCAUCCGUAUUUCCAGGCCAGAGCUUGCAUCCAGAGCUUAAUGGAUAUGAUUCAUCUUCAAGGCAUGACCGAGGAUAACAGAUGCCAUCCAAAGAGUUAGUCUACCUUGCUAUGUGGUUAUUUAGUUUCCAGAACUAUCAUAUCUUUUAAGCUACUAUACAGAACUUGUGCAUUGCAUUAAAAUGGUACCUUUCUGCCUUGUCGUCUGUCCAAGGGACUUCUUCUGUUACUCACUGUAUUGCUGAGAGUAUAAACAGACCAUAUAGGUACCAUAAAAUGCCUAUUUCAUGUAAAACUUCCAUUGAUUAUUGACAUACUAAUGAUCUACCAAAAGGCGAUAGCUCAAAUAGGAAGGGUUUGAGUGGCUUAAGCAUGAAGUCGGGAGGUCGAACUUGUAUGCAGCAAUGUCUGGAUCUAGAUAGAAUACCUCCAAUGCAAAUAUGCUGGUCUAUCUGAGUUAAUCUCUUGACUAUAUCCUAAGUAACCAUGCACUAUGAUAUGAACUUCAAUGCCUUUAAGAUGGUUGUCUGACGGAGGAGGAUCUCAGCAUUAGGGCAAAAAGUAAACAUUCAGACCUGUCUCACUGAGACAUAUCUUACAAUUUAUUUUUCAGAAGGGAUGAGGGGCCCUCAGCAGGUUUAUGGUUUAAAUCUAAGAUGGGCGUUUGAUGCAAUUUUACUAGAUUUUGUAAACUACUUUGGUUAGAUUACAGGGGAUUUUGCCAAAUGGUGUUGAUCCAUGUAUGCCAUUUGGUUUGUAGAUUGUACCCUGUAUUAUUAAUACUUGUCACACUGAUGCUAAUUGGCACUUCAUAAACAAAUUGUUUACCA